rnacentral:rRNA from 1 species
UACGGAGGGGGUUAGCGUUGUUCGGAAUUACUGGGCGUAAAGCGCACGUAGGCGGAUUGAUAAGUUGGGGGUGAAAUCCCGGGGCUCAACCCCGGAACUGCCUCCAAAACUAUCAGUCUUGAGUUCGAGAGAGGUGAGUGGAAUUCCGAGUGUAGAGGUGAAAUUCGUAGAUAUUCGGAAGAACACCAGUGGCGAAGGCGGCCAUCUGGACCAGCACUGACACUGAGGCACGAAAGCGUGGGGAGCAAACAGG